rnacentral:rRNA from 1 species
AACGAACGCUGGCGGCAGGCCUAACACAUGCAAGUCGAACGCCCCGCACGGGGAGUGGCAGACGGGUGGGUAACACGUGGGGACCGUCCCAAUAGUACGAAAUACCCCAGGGAAACUUGGAGCAAUACGGUAUACGGCCGAAAGCGGAAAGAAUUUCGCUAUAGGAUGGGCCCGGGUCGGAUUAUUUGGUUGGUGGGGUAAUGGCUCACCAAGGCGACGAUCCUGAGCUGGUUUGAGAGAACGACCCGCCACACGGGGACUGAGACACGGACCCGACUCCUACGGGAGGCAGCAGUGUGGAAUAUUGGGCACUGGGCGCAAGCCUGAUCCCGCCGUGCCGCGUGAGUGAUCAAGGCCUUAGGGUUGUAAAGCUCUUUUGGCGGAAACGAUAAUGACGGUACCCGCAGAAUAAGUCCCGGCUAACUUCGUG